rnacentral:piRNA from 1 species
UAAGGAAUUUCAGUUUGAUUGCCAUAUGU